rnacentral:rRNA from 1 species
UUUUAUUUGAGAGUUUGAUCCUGGCUCAGGAUGAACGCUGGCGGCGUGCCUAACACAUGCAAGUUGAGCGAUUUACUUCGGUAAAGAGCGGCGGACGGGUGAGUAACGCGUGGGUAACCUACCCUGUACACACGGAUAACAUACCGAAAGGUAUGCUAAUACGGGAUAAUAUAUUUGAGAGGCAUCUCUUGAAUAUCAAAGGUGAGCCAGUACAGGAUGGACCCGCGUCUGAUUAGCUAGUUGGUAAGGUAACGGCUUACCAAGGCGACGAUCAGUAGCCGACCUGAGAGGGUGAUCGGCCACAUUGGAACUGAGACACGGUCCAAACUCCUACGGGAGGCAGCAG